rnacentral:tRNA from 1 species
AACGAGUUAGUAUACUUAAUACCUUUAAUUUAGGCUUAAAAAAAAGAUAACCUCUACUCGCUA